GACAAGUAGGCUUGUAGCUCCUCCAGACAGAGCAGGGGGCUGAAAUAUGGGCUUGUGGCCUCUGUUUCCUGUGAACCUCCUGAUGAAAAACAUCCCCAGGAGAUGAAAGGCGCUCUGAUCCGAGGCUGCAGAAUUUGUGGGCAGGGAGCUGCUAAUGUUGCAUGUCUGUGUUGCAGGCUGGGUGCAAUUAACCCCUUGAUGCUGAACUGCUGGGCCUCAAUUCAUUUCCUGCCCACUGUGACUUACUGCUUAAGAUGGGGGAUUUUCAGGCCCCUGAAAGGAAGGCUGUGCAUGCACGAUAUCUCACCCAAAGUCAAGAGGCAACCGCAGAGCUCUCUCGUCUGUUACUCUCCUCCUCUUUCCUGAUCCUGGAAAACAAGAGAAAUGACUCAGCACUUUAGGCACCUCAUAUGGGACCUAAGAGAACAGCAGACCUGCCAUAUUUACAGAUACAGCCCCGAGACAAAAUAAGGAGGACAGCAAAACCCCCAACUAAGUUUUGGAUGCACCUUGUCAAACCAAACCAUCACCAGUUUUACUGGCUGAGUUGAGCUUGGCCACGCCCAGCCGCACCCAAGAUGUUCCUGCUCUUGAGUAGGGUUAAGCUGGGCCCGCCUGCCUCCAAGUGGGAUGCGGUGACGUCCCAGGAAAGCAUCCAAAUUGUUUGUGUUUAACUGAACAAGCUGAGCCACUUCUUUGGUGGUGAUAAUUCGACAGUACUAACAGGAUCGUGAG